CCUACGGGUGGCAGCAGUGGGGAAUAUUGCGCAAUGGGCGAAAGCCUGACGCAGCGACGCCGCGUGAGGGAUGAAGGUCUUCGGAUCGUAAACCUCUGUCAGCGGGGAAGAACGGUCACUGUGCUAAUCAGCAGUGAAUUGACGGUACCUGCAAAGGAAGCCCCGGCUAACUCCGUGCCAGCAGCCGCGGUAAUACGGAGGGUGCGAGCGUUAAUCGGAAUUACUGGGCGUAAAGCGCUCGUAGGCGGUAUUGCAAGUCAAGGGUGAAAUCCCCGCGCUCAACGUGGGAACUGCCUUUGAAACUGGCAGACUGGAGUGUGGGAGAGGGUAGUGGAAUUCCAGGUGUAGGAGUGAAAUCCGUAGAUAUCUGGAGGAACAUCAGUGGCGAAGGCGACUAUCUGGCACAUAACUGACGCUGAGGAGCGAAAGCGUGGGUAGCAAAUAGGAUUAGAUACCCCGGUAGUC
rnacentral:rRNA from 1 species